rnacentral:rRNA from 1 species
GACGAACGCUGGCGGCGUGCUUAACACAUGCAAGUCGAGCGGAAAACUUCGGUUUUCAGCGGCGGACGGGUGAGUAACACGUGGGCAACCUGCCUCACAAUGAGGGAUAGCCUUCCGAAAGGAAGAUUAAUACCGGAUAUGACCCUUGACCGCAUGGUUGUGGGUGGAAAGUUUUUCGGUGGGGGAUGUGCUCGCGGCCUAUCAGCUUGAUGGUGGGGUAAUGGCCUACCAUGGCUUCGACGGGUAGCCGGCCUGAGAGGGUGACCGGCCACACUGGGACUGAGACACGGCCCAGACUCCUACGGGAGGCAGCAGUGGGGAAUAUUGGACAAUGGGCGGAAGCCUGAUCCAGCAACGCCGCGUGAGGGAUGACGGCCUUCGGGUUGUAAACCUCUUUCAGUACCGACGAAGCGAAAGUGACGGUAGGUACAGAAGAAGCACCGGCCAACUACGUGCCAGCCGCCGCGGUAA